AGUGAACGCUGGCGGUAGGCCUAACACAUGCAAGUCGAACGGCAGCACAGUAAGAGCUUGCUCUUACGGGUGGCGAGUGGCGGACGGGUGAGGAAUACAUCGGAAUCUACUUUUUCGUGGGGGAUAACGUAGGGAACCUUACGCUAAUACCGCAUACGACCUACGGGUGAAAGCAGGGGAUCUUCGGACCUUGCGCGAUUGAAUGAGCCGAUGUCGGAUUAGCUAGUUGGCGGGGUAAAGGCCCACCAAGGCGACGAUCCGUAGCUGGUCUGAGAGGAUGAUCGGCCACACUGGAACUGAGACACGGUCCAGACUCCUACGGGAGGCAGCAGUGGGGAAUAUUGGACAAUGGGCGCAAGCCUGAUCCAGCCAUACCGCGUGGGUGAAGAAGGCCUUCGGGUUGUAAAGCCCUUUUGUUGGGAAAGAAAAGCAGCAGGUUAAUACCCCGCUGUUCUGACGGUACCCAAAGAAUAAGCACCGGCUAACUUCGUG
rnacentral:rRNA from 1 species